UACGUAGGGGGCAAGCGUUAUCCGGAUUUACUGGGUGUAAAGGGAGCGUAGACGGCAAGGCAAGUCUGAUGUGAAAACCCAGGGCUUAACCCUGGGACUGCAUUGGAAACUGUCUGGCUCGAGUGCCGGAGAGGUAAGCGGAAUUCCUAGUGUAGCGGUGAAAUGCGUAGAUAUUAGGAAGAACACCAGUGGCGAAGGCGGCUUACUGGACGGUAACUGACGUUGAGGCUCGAAAGCGUGGGGAGCAAACAGGAUUAGAUACCCCUGUCGGCUGACUGACU
rnacentral:rRNA from 1 species